GACGAACGCUGGCGGCGUGCUUAACACAUGCAAGUCGAGCGGAAAGGCUCCUUCGGGGGUACUCGAGCGGCGAACGGGUGAGUAACACGUGAGUAAUCUGCCCUUGGCUUUGGGAUAAGCCCCGGAAACGGGUCUAAUACCGGAUACGACGCACUCUCGCAUGGGAUGUGUGUGGAAAGUUUUUUCGGCCAGGGAUGUGCUCGCGGCCUAUCAGCUUGUUGGUGGGGUAAUGGCCUACCAAGGCUUCGACGGGUAGCCGGCCUGAGAGGGUGACCGGCCACACUGGGACUGAGACACGGGCCCAGACUCCUACGGGAGGCAGCAGUGGGAAUAUUGGACAAUGGGCGGAAGCCUGAUCCAGCAACGCCGCGUGAGGGAUGACGGCCU
rnacentral:rRNA from 1 species